rnacentral:rRNA from 1 species
GACGAACGCUUGCGGCGUGCUUAACACAUGCAAGUCGAACGGAAAGGCCCUGCUUUUGUGGGGUGCUCGAGUGGCGAACGGGUGAGUAACACGUGAGUAACCUGCCCUUGACUUUGGGAUAACUUCAGGAAACUGGGGCUAAUACCGGAUAGGAGCUCCUGCUGCAUGGUGGGGGUUGGAAAGUUUCGGCGGUUGGGGAUGGACUCGCGGCUUAUCAGCUUGUUGGUGGGGUAGUGGCUUACCGAGGCUUUGACGGGUAGCCGGCCUGAGAGGGUGACCGGCCACAUUGGGACUGAGAUACGGCCCAGACUCCUACGGGAGGCAGCAGUGGGGAAUAUUGCACAAUGGGCGGAAGCCUGAUGCAGCAACGCCGCGUGCGGGAUGACGGCCUUCGGGUUGUAAACCGCUUUCGCCUGUGACGAAGCGUGAGUGACGGUAAUGGGUAAAGAAGCACCGGCUAACUACGUGCCAGCAGCCGCGGUGAUACGUAGGGUGCGAGCGUUGUCCGGAUUUAUUGGGCGUAAAGGGCUCGUAGGUGGUUGAUCGCGUCGGAAGUGUAAUCUUGGGGCUUAACCCUGAGCGUGCUUUCGAUACGGGUUGACUUGAGGAAGGUAGGGGAGAAUGGAAUUCCUGGUGGAGCGGUGGAAUGCGCAGAUAUCAGGAGGAACACCAGUGGCGAAGGCGGUUCUCUGGGCCUUUCCUGACGCUGAGGAGCGAAAGCGUGGGGAGCGAACAGGCUUAGAUACCCUGGUAGUCCACGCUGUAAACGGUGGGUACUAGGUGUGGGGUCCAUUCCACGGGUUCCGUGCCGUAGCUAACGCUUUAAGUACCCCGCCUGGGGAGUACGGCCGCAAGGCUAAAACUCAAAGGAAUUGACGGGGCCCCGCACAAGCGGCGGAGCAUGCGGAUUAAUUCGAUGCAACGCGUAGAACCUUACCUGGGUUUGACAUGGAUCGGGAGUGCUCAGAGAUGGGUGUGCCUCUUUUGGGGUCGGUUCACAGGUGGUGCAUGCCUGUCGUCAGCUCGUGUCGUGAGAUGUUGGGUUAAGUCCCGCAACGAGCGCAACCCUUGUUCACUGUUGCCAGCACGUUAUGGUGGGGACUCAGUGGAGACCGCCGGGGUCAACUCGGAGGAAGGUGGGGAUGACGUCAAGUCCUCAUGCCCCUUAUGUCCAGGGCUUCACGCAUGCUACAAUGGCUGGUACAGAGAGUGGCGAGCCUGUGAGGGUGAGCGAAUCUCGGAAAGCCGGUCUCAGUUCGGAUUGGGGUCUGCAACUCGACCUCAUGAAGUCGGAGUCGCUAGUAAUCGCAAAUCAGCAACGCUGCGGUGAAUACGUUCCCGGG